rnacentral:rRNA from 1 species
AUCGAACGCUGGCGGCAGGCCUAACACAUGCAAGUCGAACGAGUGGCGGACGGGUGAGUAAUGUCUGGGAAACUGCCUGAUGGAGGGGGAAAACUACUGGAAACGGUAGCUAAUACCGCAUACCAUCGGUUGUGCACAGAUGGGAUUAGCUAGUAGGUGGGGUAACGGCUCACCUAGGCGACGAUCCCUAGCUGGUCUGAGAGGGUGACCGGCCACACUGGGACUGAGACACGGUCCAGACUCCUACGGGAGGCAGCAGUGGGGAAUAUUGCGCAAUGGACGAAAGCCUGAUACAGCCAUGCCGCGUGAAUGAAGAAGGCCUUCGGAUUGUAAAAUACUGUCAGCAGGGAGGCGUUACCCGCAGAGAAAGCACCGGCUAACUCCGUGCCAGCAGCCGCGGUAAUAC